rnacentral:snoRNA from 1 species
AAGAUCGUGCUUCAUAUGAUCAUUUCUAUAGUGCGAUCGCCGAGACGCAUCCGCGAUCUCGGAACACUUUCGACCACGAUGAUGCGUCGUGGGUCUCCGCUUGAGCGUGAAGCUGGCUCGGUAACCGGGGCUUACUCUGUACCGAAGCUUUGAUGACCGCCCUCGGGCAUUAUUGGUGCCUGAGGAUGGCGGAGACCCAGUCUGAGUGGC